rnacentral:rRNA from 1 species
UACGUAGGGGGCAAGCGUUGUCCGGAAUCAUUGGGCGUAAAGAGCGUGUAGGCGGCCCGGUAAGUCCGCUGUGAAAGUCCAGGGCUCAACCCUGGGAUGCCGGCGGAUACUGUCGGGCUCGAGUCCGGAAGAGGAGUGUGGAAUUCCUGGUGUAGCGGUGAAAUGCGCAGAUAUCAGGAGGAACACCAAUGGCGAAAGCGGCUCUCUGGAACGGUACUGACGCUGAGACGCGAAAGCGUGGGGAGCGAACAGG